GAUGAACGCUGGCGGCGUGCUUAAUACAUGCAAGUCGAGCGAACAGACGAUGAGCUUGCUCCUCUCACGUUAGCGGCGCACGGGUGAGUAACACGUGGAUAAUCCACUUAUAAGACUGGGAAAACUUCGGGAAACCGGAGCUAAUACCGGAUAAUAUCCUGAACCGCAUGGUUCAAUAGUGAAAUACGGUUUUGCUGUCACGUCUAGAUGGAUCCGGGCCGCAUUAGCUAGUUGGUAGGGUAACGGCUUACGAAGGCAACGAUGCGUAGCCGACCUGAUGGAGGGAUAGGCCGCACUAGAAGGGGACCACGGUCCAGACUCCUGCGGGAGGCAGCAGUAGGGAACGUGCGGCAGUAGUCGGGAGCAUGACGGAACGACGCGGAGUGAGAUAUGGAGGUCUUCGGAGCGUGAAGCUCGCUUAUGAGGGAAGAACAGCUGUGGAAGUAACUGUACACGUCUUGACGGUACCUAAUCAGAAAGCCACGGCUAACUACGUG
rnacentral:rRNA from 1 species